AUUGAACGCUGGCGGCAGGCCUAACACAUGCAAGUCGAGCGGAUGAAGGGAGCUUGCUCCUGGAUUCAGCGGCGGACGGGUGAGUAAUGCCUAGGAAUCUGCCUGGUAGUGGGGGAUAACGUCCGGAAACGGGCGCUAAUACCGCAUACGUCCUGAGGGAGAAAGUGGGGGAUCUUCGGACCUCACGCUAUCAGAUGAGCCUAGGUCGGAUUAGCUAGUUGGUGGGGUAAAGGCCUACCAAGGCGACGAUCCGUAACUGGUCUGAGAGGAUGAUCAGUCAAAGUGGAACUGAGACACAGAAGAGACGCGUACGGGAGGCAGCAGGUAGGAGUAAGGGAACAUGCGCGCAAGGCUGAUCAAGCCAGUCCGCUGGUGAGAAGAAUGUUGUCGUGUGGUAAGGCAUGUUAAGUGGGGAGGAGGGACAAUUUGUCAAUACCUUUAGGUUUUAACGUUAACAAAAGACUAAGCACCGGCUAUGUGCGGACCGGCGGCCGCAGUACGAGGAGGAGGAGCAGACGUAUAACC
rnacentral:rRNA from 1 species